ACAGGCCUAACACAUGCAAGUCGAGGGGCAGCACAAGGAGCAAUCUGAGGUGGCGACCGGCGCACGGGUGAGUAACACGUAUGCAACCUGCCUGUAAGCGGGGAAUAACCCGUUGAAAGACGGACUAAUACCGCAUAAUACUAAAUUACUGCAUGGUAAUUAUUUAAACAUUUAUGGCUUACAGAUGGGCAUGCGCAUGAUUAGCUAGUUGGAGAGGUAACGGCUCCCCAAGGCAACGAUCAUUAGGGGUUCUGAGAGGAAGGUCCCCACACUGGUACUGAGACACGGACCAGACUCCUACGGGAGGCAGCAGUGAGGAAUAUUGGUCAAUGGACGAGAGUCUGAACCAGCCAAGUCGCGUGCAGGAAGAAUGUCCUUAAUGGAUUGUAAACUGCUUUUGCAGGGGAAUAAAGUGCAUCACGUGUGAUGUUUUGUAUGUACUCUGCGAAUUAGGAUCGGCUAACUCCGUGCCAGCAGCGGC
rnacentral:rRNA from 1 species